GAUGAACGCUAGCGGCAGGCUUAACACAUGCAAGUCGAGGGGUAUAUUUCUUCGGAGAUAGAGACCGGCGCACGGGUGCGUAACGCGUAUGCAAUCUACCUUUUACAGAGGGAUAGCCCAGAGAAAUUUGGAUUAAUACCUCAUAGUAUGCAGAGUUGGCAUCAACACUGCAUUAAAGUCACAACGGUAAAAGAUGAGCAUGCGUCCCAUUAGCUAGUUGGUAAGGUAACGGCUUACCAAGGCUACGAUGGGUAGGGGUCCUGAGAGGGAGAUCCCCCACACUGGUACUGAGACACGGACCAGACUCCUACGGGAGGCAGCAGUGAGGAAUAUUGGACAAUGGGCGCAAGCCUGAUCCAGCCAUGCCGCGUGCAGGAUGACGGUCCUAUGGAUUGUAAACUGCUUUUGCACAGGAAGAAACAACGCUACGUGUAGCGUCUUGACGGUACUGUGAGAAUAAGGAUCGGCUAACUCUGUGC
rnacentral:rRNA from 1 species